GAAUAGAAUAGAGAGUGGGAAGUCCACUCCAGCACGGGAACUUUAUGCAAACGUCUUUUCAAGACAUCAGAAAAUUUGCUGACUGCGAUCUCGGAUUGGAACAGAAAUUACAGAUUUUGAAUUUUAUGAAAAGGUUCGGUAAAGAAUCCCUGUGUCUGUCGUGCAGAGAUUACUUUAAGAUUACGAAAAAGUUUCCAAUAAAG